ACUGCGCAACAGGACAGGUCAAAUGUUUUACUGCAAAUAUUUCAUAAGCGGCAGCAUGUAUAGAUGCUGCAAUUUACAGGGAUGAUUAUUUUGCAAUUAUCUGUCAAUCUGUGUAAUAAAACCCCAAAACUAUUAAGUAUGGUCUUUAACUUACAGAUAAGAUCUUUUACUCAAUCACUGGGGGGAAAAAAUCACCUUUCUAAUCCUUUAAUAGUAUUGGAGGCUAUAAGGUGAUACCCAUGGGAAUUUCUUUUCUCUCGAUCGUCUUUUUCUCAUUUAUCUUUCAGUCAGUUUAUCUGUCUCUCACACACCCAUGUCUACACUUAUAGAGAGUAAAAAGCAUUGUGACACAGAUAAACCAUACGAACACACCCGGGACCCUAUUUUCGGUUUGGUUAACCUGACGACGUAUCGCUGAUGUUGCGAAACCAGUCUCCUGACGCGACAAGAUCUAUUUUCUUACGUGAUCAUGUGACAUGCUAUGACGUUAUCAGUACCCAAUAAGCUGUCGGGUACAGAGGGUAUAAUAAUGCCCAGUUUCGACCGCACAACUUUGGAGCGGGCCGACUCGGACAGCAGAAGAUUUGUGUGCCACCCCCCUACUUCCCACCUCCGCCAGCAGCGUCAUGCUGUUUGCCGUGGACUGGAAGUGGGUGCUGUCCCUCGACGGGCAAUCUUCUUAAGUUGAUCGCUUACUUCGUUGCCUCCUGGGGUGUUCGUGCCUCGGGACAAACCAACUGGCAGUGUUGAGGACGAGGACUGUGACCGUCAAAGCAGCAUGGCGUCCUCGCGUCUCGCUCUGCUCCCGGUUCUCACGUAGGGUUCGCGUCCGUAGCGACCUCGCCGUCACCUGCUGUAGGUGCUAAGAGGUGGGCGCGGCCUUGCCUGGGGACCACAGUCGUGCAUGACCAGUCUUGCGAGACAAGGGGUAGGUCUAGUCGCCGUCAUGGCGCGGACCUGACUCCUUUGCAAUGUCUCCAAACUGUUUCAUGUCGUUUGUGGUCUCUAGGACUGUCAUCCACUUACCGAGAACACGUGAGCAGAUGCGCAGUUUCGAUCCUUGCCUCUGUUGGCUGAGAGUCUUUUACGUUGAUAUGAAGAGCAGCAUCCAAUAUACAGGUGUCGAAGGAAAAUGAUAUCUGUUGGUGCUCAACACUGCCAGUACAGAGGGAAACGUCAUUCAAACCCAGAAUGAGGCAACAUAGUAAGUGAAAUCAGUUUAUGGUGAGACUACAGGUGACGGGGCAGCACCCCUUUCUGAUCUUGACAGCAGCAUUGACUGAACGCUUUAUCAACUUGUUUUUGUUGGCUUAAAUAUAUCUACUCUCCUAUUGUCGUCAACUUUGUAUUAUCAGCAAAAUAAAAAGAUAUUACUAAA